GGGAUUACCGUCAGUAACGGCGAGUGAAGCGGUAACAGCUCAAAUUUGAAAUCUGGCCUCUUUGGGGUCCGAGUUGUAAUUUGUAGAGGAUGUUUCGGGUACCGCCCCGGUCUAAAUUUCUUGGAACAGAAUGUCAGAGAGGGUGAGAAUCCCGUCUUGGACCGGUGGUAGGGCCCAUGUGAAACUCCUUCGACGAGUCGAGUUGUUUGGGAAUGCAGCUCAAAAUGGGUGGUAAAUUUCAUCUAAAGCUAAAUAUUGGCCAGAGACCGAUAGCGCACAAGUAGAGUGAUCGAAAGAUGAAAAGCACUUUGAAAAGAGAGUUAAACAGUAUGUGAAAUUGUUGAAAGGGAAGCGCUUACAACCAGACUUGAGCGCGGCGGUUCCCCCUUCCUUUUGGUUGGGUUACUCCGUCGUGUCCAGGCCAACAUCGGUUCUGGGGGUCGGUCAAAGGCCCUAGGAAUGUAUCUACCCUCCGGGCGUAGACUUAUAGCCUAGGGUGUCAUGCGGCCUCCCGGGACCGAGGAACGCGCUUCGGCUCGGAUGUUGGCGUAAUGGUUGUCAGCGACCCGUCUUGAACCCCACGGACACA
rnacentral:rRNA from 1 species